CGACGUACUUCAUAGGAUCAUUUCUAUAGGAAUCGUCACUCUUUGACUCUUCAAAAGAGCCACUGAAUCCAACUUGGUUGAUGAGUCGCAUAGCCUUUGCACCCAAGAGUGAGAAUAAGGAUUGUUCACUAGCUUGGUCCACAACCUCAUGGUUUGGCCAUCUAUUACAACUUUGCUUUGCCUUUGCAAGCAGAGGCUACACCUUUUUAGGUAUAGCCUCUGCAGAAAAGGCGCGAUGAUCUUGGCCCAUGUUUGUGUACAUCCUCGUGAUGGACAAACCUGGGUGGGAGCGAAUGGCAGUCUGACAAGU